UCGGGAAUUUUGCGCAAUGGGCGAAAGCCUGACGCAGCAACGCCGCGUGAGGGAUGAAGGCCUUCGGGUUGUAAACCUCUUUUAUCAGGGACGAUAAUGACGGUACCUGACGAAUAAGUCACGGCUAACUACGUGCCAGCAGCCGCGGUAAUACGUAGGUGACAAGCGUUGUCCGGAUUUACUGGGCGUAAAGAGCGCGCAGGCGGUCGUUCAAGUCGA
rnacentral:rRNA from 1 species